rnacentral:sRNA from 1 species
AUUGUAUUGAUGGCACAUUAUUCUAGUCAAUAUAAUUUAUUAUGAAGAUGGGGCUAAAAAUCCAUUAAAUAGCACACCUGUGAAGCUUUUGGUGCUUGCUUCUUACGCCCAGUUUGGGGUGGGUGCUGAAAGAUAGAAUCUUGGGCGACCGUAAUGGCAUACGAUCAUCGACCCAAUUUUCGUGGAGACCCUUGAUUGUUAUAAGCCUACACGUACCAUACUGAUGGACUUAUGACGACAUGGGAUUAAACCUACUAUGUGGGGAAACUUACGAGUAGAGUAGCUAGUCUUGAGUGAAAUUAUUGGGAUGGUUGACAGAUAUAUAUGAAUUGGCCAAAUCGUAUAUAUUAUUGCACCUGAAAUUAUUUUUGCAAAAGAGAAUUAAUAAUAAAUUAUUUGGUGGGGAAAUCUCCUAGAGUGAAGUUGGUAUGGGAUUGCAGUGCGUACUAAGUGGCAAUCAAGUCAUAUAUUUGGUAACAAUAUAUUCGUUUCUUUAAAGGGGAACCGCUAUACUGGUAACGGUAAGUAGAUUCGAGGGAAAUCCUACUUGACCUCAAGACGUAAAGUUAACCAUACUAACCGCCAUUAUUUUUAUAU